GGGAAUUUUGGACAAUGGGCGCAAGCCUGAUCCAGCAAUGCCGCGUGCGGGAUGAAGGCCUUCGGGUUGUAAACUGCUUUUGUACGGAACGAAACGGCUCUGUCUAAUACAUGGUGCUAAUGACGGUACCGUAAGAAUAAGCACCGGCUAACUACGUGACAGCAGCCGCGGUAAUACGUAGGGUGCAAGCGUUAAUCGGAAUUACUGGGCGUAAAGCGUGCGUAGGCGGUGAGGUAAGACAGGUGUGAAAGCCCCGGGCUUAACCUGGGAAUUGCAUUUGAGACUGCAUGGCUGGAGUGCGGUAGGGGGGGAUGGAAUUCCGGGUGUAGCAGUGAAAUGCGUAGAUAUGCGGAGGAACACCGAUGGCGAAGGCAAUCCCCUGGGCCUGCACUGACGCUGAUGCACGAAAGCGUGGGGAGCAAACA
rnacentral:rRNA from 1 species